rnacentral:rRNA from 1 species
AUUGAACGCUGGCGGCAGGCCUAACACAUGCAAGUCGAGCGGAUGACGGGAGCUUGCUCCUUGAUUCAGCGGCGGACGGGUGAGUAAUGCCUAGGAAUCUUCCUGGUAGUGGGGGACAACGUUUCGAAAGGAACGCUAAUACCGCAUACGUCCUACGGGAGAAAGCAGGGGACCUUAGGGCCUUGGGCUAACAGAUGAGCCUAGGUCGGAUUAGCUAGUUGGUGGGGUAAUGGCUCACCAAGGCGACGAUCCGUAACUGGUCUGAAAGGAUGAUCAGUCACACUGGAACUGAGACACGGUCCAGACUCCUACGGGAGGCAGCAGUGGGGAAUAUUGGACAAUGGGCGAAAGCCUGAUCCAGCCAUGCCGCGUGUGUGAAGAAGGUCUUCGGAUUGUAAAGCACUUUAAGUUGGGAGGAAGGGCAGUAAGUUAAUACCUUGCUGUUUUGACGUUACCGACAGAAUAAGCACCGGCUAACUCUGUGCCAGCCGCCGCCGUAA